rnacentral:lncRNA from 1 species
CUGUCGGGGGUGCUUUAAUACAAUUUUCCUGCUUCUUGGCAGAAUGGGGUUGGACUGGAUGGCCAUCUGUCGGGGGUGCUUUGAAUGCGAUUUCCUGCUUCUUAGCAGGGGGUUGGACUGGAUGGCCCAUGAGGUCUCUUCCAACUCUACUAUUCUAUGAUUCUAUGAUUCUAUGCAUGUAUGAAAUCUAGAACAGGCUAGAAGGGGGGGGGGGUACACAAUAGGCAGAUCAGUUAGAGUUCAAGCUGAACUUUGCUACACUUAUUUCUGAAAGAAAUGCUUUAACAUACUUUCCACAAUAUCCCUUUUGUUUUGGUGCAUAUAAUCACCUUAAGCUAUGACAUGUUCAUCAAACCAGAUAAUAAAGUAGCAUGCUUAACAUAAUAUAUUUUAGAUAUAAAAGGCUGUUUACUAGGCUACCUCUGAAGAACAUACACUGGAAAUAAAGGCCAUUAACUUGCAGCCAACCCAUGAAAUUAUUACUGCAAACAUUCAUUAUUUUAUGAAGCAGCCUAUUGACAGUCUUUUAGCCUGCGGAAAGGAUUAUGUACUUGUGGCAGUGCAACACACUAUAAAUGGGGUUUAGAUUCUAAAUUCAUCAUUUUGUUCAUAAACCCAUAGCAGUGCUUCAUUUUUUAAGGAAUGAAGGCAUUUGAUUUUUUGAGAUUUCACUGUAGCAACUGCUAGAUAGUUAGAGUUACUGCAAAUAUGCUAUCACAUCAGAAUUUGUGAUGUUGGUAUUAAAUAAACUGAACAGGAUUUUAACCCCUUACAA